ACUACGGGGUGCAGCAGUGAGGAAUAUUGGUCAAUGGGCGGGAGCCUGAACCAGCCAAGUCGCGUGAGGGAAGACGGUCCUAUGGAUUGUACACCUCUUUAGGCGGGGAGCAAUGCCGGGCACGCGUGCCCGGAGGGAGAGUACCCGCAGAAUAAGCAUCGGCUAACUCCGUGCCAGCAGCCGGGGUAAUACGGAGGAUGCGAGCGUUAUCCGGAUUUAUUGGGUUUAAAGGGUGCGUAGGCGGAUUUUUAAAUCAGCGGUAAAAUGUCCGGGCUCAACCCGGGCCGGCCGUUGAAACUGGGGAUCUUGAGUGGGCGAGAAGUAUGCGGAAUGCGUGGUGUAGCGGUGAAAGGCAUAGAUAUCACGCAGAACUCCGAUUGCGAAGGCAGCAUACCGGCGCCCGACUGACGCUGAGGCACGAAAGCGUGGGGAUCGAACAGGAUUAGAUACCCGGGUAGUC
rnacentral:rRNA from 1 species